AGCAGCCGCGGUAAUUCCAGCUCCAAUAGCGUAUAUUAAAGUUGUUGCAGUUAAAAAGCUCGUAGUUGAAUUUCGGAGUUUAUCGGUUGGUCGGGCUUCACUGUCCGCACUGGCCUGAUGGAUUCCUACCUUCUGAAUAACCAGCAUGCUAUUAAUUUAGUGCGUUGGGGAAGCAGAGCUAUUACCUUGAAAAAAUUAGAGUGCUUAAAGCAGGCUUAUGCUUGAAUAGAUUAGCAUGGAAUAAUAAAAUAGGACGGCUUGGUUCUAUUUUGUUGGUUUCUAGGAUCACCGUAAUGAUUAAUAGGGAUAGUUGGGGGCAUUAGUAUUCAAUUGUCAGAGGUGAAAUUCUUGGAUUUAUUGAAGACUAACUUCUGCGAAAGCAUUUGCCAAGGAUGUUUUCAUUAAUCAAGAACGAAAGUUAGGGGAUCGAAGACGAUCAGAUACCGUCGUAGUCUUAACCAUAAACUAUGCCGACUAGGGAUCGGACGAUGUUAAUUUUUAAUGACUCGUUCGGCGCCCG
rnacentral:rRNA from 1 species